rnacentral:rRNA from 1 species
AUCAUUAACUGAAUCCAUAGGUUAAUGAGGCGAACCGGGGGAACUGAAACAUCUAAGUACCCCGAGGAAAAGAAAUCAACCGAGAUUCCCCCAGUAGCGGCGAGCGAACGGGGAGGAGCCCAGAGCCUGAAUCAGCAUGUGUGUUAGUGGAAGCGUCUGGAAAGGCGCGCGAUACAGGGUGACAGCCCCGUACACAAAAGCGCAUGUGCUGUGAGCUCGAUGAGUAGGGCGGGACACGUGGUAUCCUGUCUGAAUAUGGGGGGACCAUCCUCCAAGGCUAAAUACUCCUGACUGACCGAUAGUGAACCAGUACCGUGAGGGAAAGGCGAAAAGAACCCCGGCGAGGGGAGUGAAAAAGAACCUGAAACCGUGUACGUACAAGCAGUGGGAGCACCCUUUGGGUGUGACUGCGUACCUUUUGUAUAAUGGGUCAGCGACUUAUAUUCUGUAGCAAGGUUAACCGAAUAGGGGAGCCGGAGGGAAACCGAGUCUUAAUUGGGCGUUAAGUUGCAGGGUAUAGACCCGAAACCCGGUGAUCUAGCCAUGGGCAGGUUGAAGGUUGGGUAACACUAACUGGAGGACCGAACCGACUAAUGUUGAAAAAUUAGCGGAUGACCUGUGGCUGGGGGUGAAAGGCCAAUCAAACCGGGAGAUAGCUGGUUCUCCCCGAAAGCUAUUUAGGUAGCGCCUCGUGAAUUCAUCUCCGGGGGUAGAGCACUGUUUCGGCUAGGGGGCCAUCCCGGCUUACCAACCCGAUGCAAACUGCGAAUACCGGAGAAUGUUAUCACGGGAGACACACGGCGGGUGCUAACGUCCGUCGUGAAGAGGGAAACAACCCAGACCGCCAGCUAAGGUCCCAAAGUCAUGGUUAAGUGGGAAACGAUGUGGGAAGGCCCAGACAGCCAGGAUGUUGGCUUAGAAGCAGCCAUCAUUUAAAGAAAGCGUAAUAGCUCACUGGUCGAGUCGGCCUGCGCGGAAGAUGUAACGGGGCUAAACCAUGCACCGAAGCUGCGGCAGCGACACUGUGUGUUGUUGGGUAGGGGAGCGUUCUGUAAGCCUGUGAAGGUGUGUCGUGAGGCAUGCUGGAGGUAUCAGAAGUGCGAAUGCUGACAUAAGUAACGAUAAAGCGGGUGAAAAGCCCGCUCGCCGGAAGACCAAGGGUUCCUGUCCAACGUUAAUCGGGGCAGGGUGAGUCGACCCCUAAGGCGAGGCCGAAAGGCGUAGUCGAUGGGAAACGGGUUAAUAUUCCCGUACUUGGUGUUACUGCGAAGGGGGGACGGAGAAGGCUAUGUUGGCCGGGCGACGGUU